UAAGGAAUAUUGGACAAUGGACGCAAGUCUGAUCCAGCCAUGCCGCGUGAAGGAUGAAUGCCCUCUGGGUUGUAAACUUCUUUUAUAGGGGAAGAAAGAUACUUUUUUUAAGGUAGUUGACGGUACCCUAUGAAUAAGCACCGGCUAACUCCGUGCCAGCGGCCGCGGUAAUACGGAGGGUGCAAGCGUUAUCCGGAUUUACUGGGUUUAAAGGGUGCGUAGGCGGGCAUGUAAGUCAGUGGUGAAAUACCGGAGCUUAACUUCGGAACUGCCAUUGAUACUAUAUGUCUUGAAUAUUGUGGAGGUAAGCGGAAUAUGUCAUGUAGCGGUGAAAUGCAUAGAUAUGACAUAGAACACCGAUUGCGGAGGCAGCUUGCUACGCAAAUAUUGACGCUGAGGCACGAAAGCGUGGGGAUCAAACA
rnacentral:rRNA from 1 species